rnacentral:misc_RNA from 1 species
AAAAAAAAAAGAGGAGCGAAGUAUAUUUUCUCUCUAGAGUUCUGCACGUUUCCCGAUGAUAAUCACCAACCACUUCCGGUAGUGACGCCACCUGCCACUUCCGCUGUUUAUGGCCGCCCAGAGCGACGUCGUUUCGCUGACCUUUAAAGCUCUGGUGGAGAGCGCGGACCGGAAGUUCGCUAGGGUCCGUGACCUCCCGGCUUACGGACGUGCUCAAAACCACUACUUCCAGAAGGUUUUCAAGGCUUACAUGCGACUAUGGAAGUACCAGCAAGAGAACAGGUCGAAGCUAGUUGAGGCCGGUCUUAACCGAUGGGAAAUAGGUGAGAUCGCUAGCCGGAUCGGCCAGCUUUACUUUAACCAGUACAUGAGGACGAGUGAUGCGAGGUUCUUGGUCGAAGCCUAUGUGUUCUAUGAGGCGAUUUUGCAUCGAAAGUACUUUGAAGG